GUUUUUGACAGCCGUAGAAAUACGGUCUUCUAAGCUUCGGUUUAGACAAUUUCACAGGUGCUGCAUGGCUGUCGUCAGCUCGUGUCGUGAGACGUUAGGUUAAGUCCUCUAACGAGCGCAACCCUUGCCGCCAGUUGCUACUGUCUUCGGACAGGCACUCUGGUGGGACUGCCUGGGAAACCAGGAGGAAGGUGGGGACGACGUCAAGUCAUCAUGGUCCUUAUGUCCAGGGCUACACACGUGUUACAAUGGCCAGUACAAAGGGUUGCAAUACCGUAAGGUGGAGCUAAUCCCAUAAAGCUGGUCUAAGUUCGGAUUGAGGUCUGCAACUCGACCUCAUGAAGUUGAAAUCGCUAGUAAUCGCGUAUCAGCAACGACGCGGUGAAUACGUUCUCGGACCUUGUACACACCGCCCGUCACACCAUGAAAGCUGUUUGUACCCGAUGCUGUUUUAGCUAACCUGUAAAGGAGGCGAGCAAUUAAGGUAUGGAUGGUGAUUGGGGUGAAGUCGUAACAAGGUAGGCGUAGCGAG
rnacentral:rRNA from 1 species